AGGCGGGUUCACGUGGUCGCAGCCCUCCGUGGCGGCGGCCGAUGGCCGGGAACAACGACUCCCAUGGUGACCGCACCGGGGCCCGACCGACGGCUCUAACCGCUCGAUCGAGAGGACGAGGCGGUCGGUUGCUGGCAUCAUUCUCGCGUCGUGGACCGCACGCCUGAUAUAGGUGAGGCAAAUUGGUGUUCGGCUGUUCGGUGAAGCGCAUCGUCUUAUGGGAUUUGAAGGAGCCUGCUGCUGCUGCAGUAUAUAUGCUACCCACAUUAGCACUCUCAGUCACAGUCGAUUGGAUCGCUGAGCGAUGCCGGCGCAGGUGAGGCUAGGUGAUUCGGGCCUUGGUCGAUGAGGCGAGGUGGCCAUAGUUCGCGUGCGGCGGCCAGCAAGUGGAAGCCCGGAGCACCAGCCCAAGGACAAGGUGGGGAUGUUGGACAGUGGUGGCCAGAUGACAAAGAUCGGUGGCUGGACAACGACACUAUGUUAGGCAGUGAACAUGGCCAACGACUGGACGACUUUGGUGACCAAGGCCGAGCGAACGGCCAGGAAAUUAGGAAGAGAGAAUCUUCUUUCAGCGCAUACAUGGAUCAAACAAUGUAAUAGGUAUUUUUGAUUAGUGGAUGUACAUAUUUCACUAUGCCAUCAGUUCUGUCAGGUCUUGGAGUUAUCUUACAAAAUUUCUUAUUGAGAAUCUAGAGUCUGCAUCUUACCUCGUGUGAAUUCGGUUCUGUUGUUAGUGUUUCUUCACAAGGUUGAUUUAUGGGAUUUGCUUCUCAUGACUAUAUAUGUUGGCAAUUGCUUACUGUCAGGACUUAACAAUUGGUUUGUUGCAUUCCCGUACUUCUCUUACCUCGUGCUCAUUCGGUGGUAACUAUUUUAUCCAACUACCAGGAUGUGUUUCUUGCCCCUAUCCUGAAUCUCUCUAAUUCUUGGGUGUACAUGAUCAUGCGUAUGUUUUUGAUAUUAUCUGUUAAAAUAUUCAUGGGAGAAAAUGAAAUGCUUAGAAAUUUAGUUUAGUUAGAUUCUCAACGUUGUAGUUACUUUUUAGAAAAAUAUAUUAGUGUUCACAUCCUCAUAUUUCUUCUUUUAUGCUGCCA